rnacentral:rRNA from 1 species
AACACGUGGGGAACCUGCCCCAUAGUCUGGGAUACCACUUGGAAACAGGUGCUAAUACCGGAUAAGAAAGCGGAUCGCAUGAUCAGCUUUUAAAAGGCGGCGUAAGCUGUCGCUAUGGGAUGGCCCCGCGGUGCAUUAGCUAGUUGGUAAGGUAAAGGCUUACCAAGGCGAUGAUGCAUAGCCGAGUUGAGAGACUGAUCGGCCACAUUGGGACUGAGACACGGCCCAAACUCCUACGGGAGGCAGCAGG